AUUGAACGCUGGCGGCAUGCUUUACACAUGCAAGUCGAACGGUAACAGGCCGCAAGGUGCUGACGAGUGGCGAACGGGUGAGUAAUGCAUCGGAACGUGCCCAGUCGUGGGGGAUAACGCAGCGAAAGCUGUGCUAAUACCGCAUACGAUCUGUGGAUGAAAGCGGGGGACCGUAAGGCCUCGCGCGAUUGGAGCGGCCGAUGUCAGAUUAGGUAGUUGGUGGGGUAAAGGCUCACCAAGCCGACGAUCUGUAGCUGGGCUGAGAGGACGACCAGCCACACUGGGACUGAGACACGGCCCAGACUCCUACGGGAGGCAGAAGUGGGGAAUGUUGGACAAUGGGCGCAAGCCUGAUCCAGCAAUGCCGCGUGCAGGAAGAAGGCCUUCGGGUUGUAAACUGCUUUUGUACGGAGCGAAAAGGCUCUCUCUAAUACAGGGGGCUCAUGACGGUACCGUAAGAAUAAGCACCGGCUAACUACGUGCCAGCCGCCGCCGUAACAC
rnacentral:rRNA from 1 species